GACAGAGGUGCCGAGCGUUAGGCGGAAUCACUGGGCUUAAAGCGUGUGUAGGCGGCGGCGUAAGUACCUUGUGAAAUCCCACGGCUCAACCGUGGAACUGCUCGGUAUACUGCGUCGCUUGAGCUGUCUAGGGGCGACCGGAACAAACGGUGGAGCGGUGAAAUGCGUAGAUAUCGUUUGGAACGCCGAUGGUGAAAACAGGUCGCUGGGGACAUGCUGACGCUGAGACACGAAAGCCAGGGGGAGACGGAACUGGAUAUGACGACCGAGUCAGUCCAAGACCAAGUCUCGUGACC
rnacentral:rRNA from 1 species